UACAGAGGUGGCAAGCGUUGUUCGGAAUUACUGGGCGUAAAGGGUGCGUAGGUGGCGGGGUAAGUCUGGUGUGAAAGCUCCGAGCUCAACUCGGAAAAGCAUUGGAAACUAUCCCGCUGGAGGGUCGGAGGGGAGACUGGAAUUCUCGGUGUAGCAGUGAAAUGCGUAGAUAUCGAGAGGAACACCAGUGGCGAAGGCGAGUCUCUGGACGACUCCUGACACUGAGGCACGAAAGCUAGGGGAGCAAACAGG
rnacentral:rRNA from 1 species